rnacentral:lncRNA from 1 species
UCAAUAUAUCAAAGCAAUUGAACUAAUAUAGGUGGGUUUGAACAUGCAAAAGAACUAGUUAUAUGAAUUGGGUUUGUUAGUAUUACAAUUGAUUGUACUCUAGCUAUCUGAAAUCAAUUAUCAAACUACAAAAUACCAAAGCUUACUACUUCCAUCUUAAUUCAAUACAUAAUCUAUUCUAUGACUAUCAAUUCAACAAUACUUCCAUAUUCUUAUCAGUUCAUCUCCCACUUACUCUCUUUCAAUUGUUAUAUAUUCAAUUAUUAAUCUCCAACUAACUUAUUAUAUUCAGUUUCUCAAUUCAUCCCACAAAAUUCAAUAUCUUCACUUAUCACAAUACAAUUCAGUAAUCUCAAUUCUCCAGGUCACAAAUUUUCUCCAAAACGGUCAGUCCAAAGUCAUAUUUCAUAAUAUUAUAAUCACAAUUUCAACAAUACUUCUCUCAAUCACAAUUCUUUAUAAGCAAAUAAAAGCAAAGAAAACAAAGAGGUAGCACCAAGCUUACCCCGGCUUACAACUCUCAC